rnacentral:rRNA from 1 species
UUGAAGAGUUUGAUCAUGGCUCAGAUUGAACGCUGGCGGCAGGCCUAACACAUGCAAGUCGAACGGUAACAGGAAGCAGCUUGCUGCUUUGCUGACGAGUGGCGGACGGGUGAGUAAUGUCUGGGAAACUGCCUGAUGGAGGGGGAUAACUACUGGAAACGGUAGCUAAUACCGCAUAAUGUCGCAAGACCAAAGAGGGGGACCUUCGGGCCUCUUGCCAUCGGAUGUGCCCAGAUGGGAUUAGCUAGUAGGUGGGGUAACGGCUCACCUAGGCGACGAUCCCUAGCUGGUCUGAGAGGAUGACCAGCCACACUGGAACUGAGACACGGUCCAGACUCCUACGGGAGGCAGCAGUGGGGAAUAUUGCACAAUGGGCGCAAGCCUGAUGCAGCCAUGCCGCGUGUAUGAAGAAGGCCUUCGGGUUGUAAAGUACUUUCAGCGGGGAGGAAGGCGAUAAGGUUAAUAACCUUGUCGAUUGACGUUACCCGCAGAAGAAGCACCGGCUAACUCCGUGCCAGCAGCCGCGGUAAUACGGAGGGUGCAAGCGUUAAUCGGAAUUACUGGGCGUAAAGCGCACGCAGGCGGUCUGUCAAGUCGGAUGUGAAAUCCCCGGGCUCAACCUGGGAACUGCAUUCGAAACUGGCAGGCUAGAGUCUUGUAGAGGGGGGUAGAAUUCCAGGUGUAGCGGUGAAAUGCGUAGAGAUCUGGAGGAAUACCGGUGGCGAAGGCGGCCCCCUGGACAAAGACUGACGCUCAGGUGCGAAAGCGUGGGGAGCAAACAGGAUUAGAUACCCUGGUAGUCCACGCCGUAAACGAUGUCGACUUGGAGGUUGUGCCCUUGAGGCGUGGCUUCCGGAGCUAACGCGUUAAGUCGACCGCCUGGGGAGUACGGCCGCAAGGUUAAAACUCAAAUGAAUUGACGGGGGCCCGCACAAGCGGUGGAGCAUGUGGUUUAAUUCGAUGCAACGCGAAGAACCUUACCUACUCUUGACAUCCAGAGAACUUAGCAGAGAUGCUUUGGUGCCUUCGGGAACUCUGAGACAGGUGCUGCAUGGCUGUCGUCAGCUCGUGUUGUGAAAUGUUGGGUUAAGUCCCGCAACGAGCGCAACCCUUAUCCUUUGUUGCCAGCGGUCCGGCCGGGAACUCAAAGGAGACUGCCAGUGAUAAACUGGAGGAAGGUGGGGAUGACGUCAAGUCAUCAUGGCCCUUACGAGUAGGGCUACACACGUGCUACAAUGGCGCAUACAAAGAGAAGCGACCUCGCGAGAGCAAGCGGACCUCAUAAAGUGCGUCGUAGUCCGGAUUGGAGUCUGCAACUCGACUCCAUGAAGUCGGAAUCGCUAGUAAUCGUGGAUCAGAAUGCCACGGUGAAUACGUUCCCGGGCCUUGUACACACCGCCCGUCACACCAUGGGAGUGGGUUGCAAAAGAAGUAGGUAGCUUAACCUUCGGGAGGGCGCUUACCACUUUGUGAUUCAUGACUGGGGUGAAGUCGUAACAAGGUAACCGUAGGGGAACCUGCGGUUGGAUCACCUCCUU